GGCACAGGGUGGUGGUGGGACCACUCUAGCCGUCUUAUAACACUCAUACUAGUGGGAAUUAGCCAGGUUCCAUGAGAACUGCAUGAACCCAUUCUGAUGCUGAUACGGCCAGAGAUCUGAAAACCUGCUCUUGGGCCCCACUUAAGAUCUGACUACCUCCUGUCCUUGCUACCCUGAGACCCAAGCUUCUUGUUCAGGAGUCCUCUGGGGAGAAACAUGGAAGUCAUAAUGAAUGGCGUUUGCCCGAGAGUGAGAGCUGGCGGCCAAAAGGAAAGUCAACUACACAGGUAGAUGAUGGAAAUCCAGUAGAUAGCACAGGCCUGGUCCCCAGAAGCCGCUGAACCAAGCGAUUCCUUCACCACCACCUGGAAAGUGAGCAGGAAAUGAACAUCUUCACAGAUUACAGGUCAUCAUCGAGGGAAGCAAAGGCAAGCAUCUGGAGGCAGGAAACGGAAGCAGAAACCACAGAGAAAGAACAUGAAACCUGCAUGCAGCUCAAGGCUCUCAGCAUUUACAUAGCAGAGAAACAGCCGUCCAGUGCGGCCUCUACUGAAGGGCAGCGUGCGGCAGGGCGCACGG